GAUGAACGCUGGCGGCGUGCCUAAUACAUGCAAGUCGAGCGAAGCGAGGACGGGUGAGUAACACGUGGAUAACCUCCUAUAAGACUGGGAUAACUUCGGGAAAACGGAGCUAAACCGGAUACUGAAAGAUGGAUCCGCGCUGCCUUAGCUAGUUGGUAGGGUAACGGCUUACCAAGGCAACGAUGCAUAGCCGACCUGAGAGGGUGGUCGGCCACACUGGAACUGAUACACGUUCCAGACCCCUACGGGAGGCAGCAGUAGAGAAUCUUCCGCAAUGGGCGAAAGCCUGACCGAGCAACGCCGCAUGAUUGAUGAAGGUCUUCGGAUCGUAAAACUCUGUUAUUAGGGAAGCGGUACCUAAUCAGAAAGCCACGGCUAACUUCGGGCCAGCCGCCGCGGUAAUAC
rnacentral:rRNA from 1 species